GAGGUCUCAUUCCCAUGCCCCUCCCCCGCCUCAAGUUGGCACCCCUCUACGGUCACUCCCUGGCCUCGUGCACGCCUCAGCGGGUCCCACCCACCGCAGGCCAGGUGGGGACGGGCACCUAACCAUGAGCGGGUACGCACUGCACCUGCGACAGACACGCUAUAACCGGGACCAGGCGCCAAAAAGAGGACCUGACCCGGCCACUGGCCCUAGCUCUAUCCCCGACGAGGGCAUCCCCACAGAUCCCAGCGCAGCUUUAUCCACAGCACUCAAGACGUGGAGCCUCGGCUCGUGUGGGGGCGGGGCAGUGGAGUAGCCUUGAUGAUACUGGCUAUCACAGCCUGAGUCGGUGAAGACCGGGAAGAACCACAAGGCCAGUGCCCGGACCGGGACAGGUGCUUUGGCGAAGCCCAGGAAAUGCCCUUUCCCUGGGAGAGGCGAGUGGACGGGACGCUGCUGCAGCUCAGUGACGGCCCUUCGCCUCCCUAUAGGCUCUCUCUUUGCCUUUCCCCCUUUUCAGAUAUGAAGCCCUCCGUGAUCUCAGCGAUGGAUGGUAGCGGGAGGUGAAGAGGAGGCAGUGUGGUCCGAACUGGGGCGGGGGAGGACGAGGAGGCGUGGCCAGGAGCCCACAAAGCAGCAGCAGCAGGAGCUGACCUCCCCAGGUCCCUGAGGGGCGGAAGCCUGGGGACAGGUAGCGGCGCUUCUACCGCAUCACAUUCACCCCUUUGCAGCUACGGAUGGAGCCUUUUACACCGCACUGGAUACCCCGCCGUGUUCCCCAUGUACGCGGCUAGCCCUGGAGGUGCCUAGCUCUCCAGGGUGCUCGGUUGUCUCUGGGUGUCUCUGGCUCUCUUCCGGAGUCUGAGCCAAAAGCCACCUAGAGGGCCCAAGGCCACCAGGGCCCCCUCCCCCAGGACUCUGGGGUGGGGGCAAUACCUACCGGGCAUCAAGGUAAGUAUUUUCAUGCGGUAUUUAAAUCCAUCAAGUAGGGAAACUUUGGCCGGAGGCCCGUUUUGUAAAUAACGUUUUGUUGGAACCGUGCAUGAGGCACCGUGGAGCAAGUGCAGGGUCAGAUUCUACCUAUGUUUAAAUUUUGGUAAUAUUUUCAUCAUGGGCUAUUUUUGCACUAAUUUUGGUAUUUGUUAAAUACUACACUAAAACAUUAUUUAUCUUGAUUACUGAUUUUUUGGUGUCCCAUUAAAUUUUGCGUGGGAGGGAAAACCACCUGCUAAGGCGAGCCUGGAGCUGGGUAUUACAGAAAAGUGUACUGUGGUGGGGGGCAUGAAGGGGAUAGAAAAUUUAAAACAAGAAUGAAAUAACAUCCAUAUAUUUAAUUUCAUCCACAUCUCAGAAUACUGAACAUUUGUGAUUUUCUUCUCGCUUGCAAGACACAUGGAUGAUACUGAAGCCAAGGUGCAGGUGAGUAAACCUGAAAAAAACAACCUGGCAGGGCAGCCAUCCUAAAACCUGCUUUGGGACUUGGACAUCUUUGUCAUGGACAUUCUCACGUUGGUUUGUUUUUAUUGCCUUUUCCAUGAUUGGAAAAUAAGUUUUUGAACUUUGGGGACUUUAAGGGGUAGUAAAUGGGAUCAGUAAAUUCCAGUUUAUGGAAACUGCCCAUCAUUCCCAAAGAAGAAAAAAUAGAACAGAGCCACUUUUCCUACACCUGUGGUAUCUAUCCAUCUGAAUAUAUAUAGAUAUGUGUUUUUUCCAAUAAAAUUCAAGUCCUCCUAACACAAGUAUCCUUUAGGGAGAAUGUUAGCCCUCCUUAAAGCAAUACUUCUAUCUUCCAUGCAGUCAUGUUGGGACUCAAUCUGACCUGGAAGUAUUUACAUUAAUACACUGAGGAGCUGGGUUAUAAGAGGGUUCAACAGUGCUAAAUUAUUUAAAAUAUUCAAAACCAAGCAUAAACUCUGAGGUAAAAUGAGUGAUUCUGUAAACAUUUCAGCACUGGUGCAAGGGAGUAAUUGGUCCAGAGAGCACACUAUAGGAGUAACUAGCAUCUGUUUAGUUGCAAUGAGACGGAUGGGGUUGAGAGCUUAAAGUUCAAGUCCUCCUGCUGUUGUUUUUCAGCAUUUGGUAAAGCAAGGUAGGGAGUGGUAGCCCUAAAGUUGUCUAAAAAAACAAAAACAAAAAAGAACAAUUAUGGAUAAAAUUCCACUGACCCAAAAAGGGUGAAAAUGAGAAUUCUAAUAUAUUGUCAAAAUAUGCCUUGGAGAUAUCACACAAAAUCAAUGUUAUGAAACUACCAAAUGCAUAAAUGAAUAUUCUCUUGAGGAACUUCUCAUCUAAGGACUUUUUUCCCUUUUGGUGGUACAAUUAGGAACAAGUGGGUUUUUUUUGUUUUUUUUUUUUUUUUUUUGCGGUACGCAGGCCUC